GAUGAACGCUGGCGGCGUGCCUAAUACAUGCAAGUCGAGCGAACAGACGAGGAGCUUGCUCCUCUGACGUUAGCGGCGGACGGGUGAGUAACACGUGGAUAACCUACCUAUAAGACUGGGAUAACUUCGGGAAACCGGAGCUAAUACCGGAUAAUAUAUUGAACCGCAUGGUUCAAUAGUGAAAGACGGUUUUGCUGUCACUUAUAGCUGGAUCCGCGCCGCAUUAGCUAGUUGGUAAGGUAACGGCUUACCAAGGCAACGAUGCGUAGCCGACCUGAGAGGGUGAUCGGCCACACUGGAACUGAGACACGGUCCAGACGCCUACGGGAGGCAGCAGUAGGGAAUCUUCCGCAAUGGGCGAAAGCCUGACGGAGCAACGCCGCGUGAGUGAUGAAGGUCUUCGGAUCGUAAAACUCUGUUAUGAGGGAAGAACAAAUGUGUAAGUAACUAUGCACGUCUUGACGGUACCUAAUCAGAAAGCCACGGCUAACUACGUG
rnacentral:rRNA from 1 species